rnacentral:rRNA from 1 species
AUUGAACGCUGGCGGCAGGCUUAACACAUGCAAGUCGAGCGAGCGGCGGACGGGUGAGUCAUGUCUGGGAAACUGCCUGAUGGAGGGGGAUAACUACUGGAAACGGUAGCUAAUACCGCAUACCAUCAGAUGUGCCCAUAUGGGAUUAGAUAGUAGGUGGGGUAAUGGCUCACCUAGGCGACGAACCCUAGCAGGUCGGAGAGGAUGACUAGCCACACUGGAACUGGGACACGGGCCAGACUCCUACGGGUGACAGCAGUGGGGAAUAUUGCACAAUGGGCGCAAACCUGAUGAAGCCGUGCCGCGUGUGUGAAGAAGGCAUUCGGGUUGUAAAACAAUUUCAGCGAGGAGGCGUUACUCGCAGAAGAAGCACCGGCUAACUCCGUGCCAGCAGCCGCGGUAAUUC